AUUUAAAAUGGUAUUUUUAAACGGCUAAAUCAUGCAGGUAAGAAGCAUUGGCACCUGGUGAAGUUUAAAGAUGGUAUGGCCCAAGACUUGUUUGGCUCUAUACAAUUAACCCGAUAAGAUGCCAUGCGCAAUUCAAAACCAGCAGCAUCUCCAGUCGUCAAUAAAGAGGAGAAUGGAAACAGUACAUAUAAUCAAAAUGUACACUUAUUAGUAGUUCUUAC